rnacentral:rRNA from 1 species
GACGAACGCUGGCGGCGUGCCUAAUACAUGCAAGUCGAGCGGACUGAUUAAGAGCUUGCUCUUAUGACGUUAGCGGCGGACGGGUGAGUAACACGUGGGCAACCUGCCCUGUAGAUCGGGAUAACACCGAGAAAUCGGUGCUAAUACCGGGUAAUAUCUGAGAUCACAUGAUCUUAGGUUAAAAGAUGGCUCCGGCUAUCACUACAGGAUGGGCCCGCGGCGCAUUAGCUAGUUGGUAAGGUAAUGGCUUACCAAGGCGACGAUGCGUAGCCGACCUGAGAGGGUGUUCGGCCCCACUGUGGCUGAGACACGGCCCCGACUCCUCCGCGAGGGAGCAGUAGGGAAUCUUCUGCACUGGAGGAGAGUCUGACGGAGCAACGCGGCGUGAGUGAUGAAGGGUUUCGGCUCGUAAAGCGCUGUUGUUAGGGGAGAAACAGUACCGAACGAACUAGGUCGGUACCUUGACGGUACCUAACCAGAAAGCCACGGCUAACUACGUG